GACAGAGGGUGCAAACGUUGCUCGGAAUCACUGGGCGUAAAGGGUGUGUAGGCGGGAAGGUUAGUCAGAUGUGAAAGCCCUGGGCUCAACCCAGGAACUGCAUUUGAAACUCCCUUUCUUGAGUGUCGGAGAGGAAAGCGGAAUUCCUGGUGUAGAGGUGAAAUUCGUAGAUAUCAGGAGGAACACCGGUGGCGAAGGCGGCUUUCUGGACGACAACUGACGCUGAGACGCGAAAGCGUGGGGAGCAAACAGG
rnacentral:rRNA from 1 species